rnacentral:rRNA from 1 species
GAUGAACGCUGGCGGCGUGCUUAACACAUGCAAGUCGAACGAACCUUCGGGUUAGUGGCGGACGGGUGAGUAACGCGUGGGAAUCUGCCCUCAGGAGGGGGAUAACGGCCGGAAACGGCCGCUAAUACCCCAUAUGCCGAGAGGUGAAAUGAAAUUCGCCUGAGGAUGAGCCCGCGUCUGAUUAGCUAGUUGGUGUGGUAAUGGCGCACCAAGGCUUCGAUCAGUAGCUGGUCUGAGAGGAUGAUCAGCCACACUGGGACUGAGACACGGCCCAGACUCCUACGGGAGGCAGCAGUGGGGAAUUUUCCGCAAUGGGCGAAAGCCUGACGGAGCAACGCCGCGUGAGGGAUGAAGGCCUCUGGGCUGUAAACCUCUUUUCUCAAGGAAGAAGAACUGACGGUACUUGAGGAAUAAGCCACGGCUAAUUCCGUGCCAGCAGCCGCGGUAAUACGGGAGUGGCAAGCGUUAUCCGGAAUUAUUGGGCGUAAAGCGUCCGCAGGCGGCCUUGUAAGUCUGUCGUUAAAGCGUGGAGCUUAACUCCAUUUCAGCGGUGGAAACUACAAGGCUUGAGUGUGGUAGGGGCAGAGGGAAUUCCCGGUGUAGCGGUGAAAUGCGUAGAUAUCGGGAAGAACACCAGUGGCGAAGGCGCUCUGCUGGGCCAUAACUGACGCUCAUGGACGAAAGCCAGGGGAGCGAAAGGGAUUAGAUACCCCUGUAGUCCUGGCCGUAAACGAUGAACACUAGGUGUCGGGGGAAUCGACCCCCUCGGUGUCGUAGCUAACGCGUUAAGUGUUCCGCCUGGGGAGUACGCACGCAAGUGUGAAACUCAAAGGAAUUGACGGGGGCCCGCACAAGCGGUGGAGUAUGUGGUUUAAUUCGAUGCAACGCGAAGAACCUUACCAGGGUUUGACAUCCUGCGAAUCCCUUGGAAACGAGGGAGUGCCUUCGGGAACGCAGAGACAGGUGGUGCAUGGCUGUCGUCAGCUCGUGUCGUGAGAUGUUGGGUUAAGUCCCGCAACGAGCGCAACCCACGUCUUUAGUUGCCAGCAUUCAGUUGGGCACUCUAGAGAGACCGCCGGUGAUAAACCGGAGGAAGGUGUGGAUGACGUCAAGUCAUCAUGCCCCUUACAUCCUGGGCUACACACGUACUACAAUGCUACGGACAAAGGGCAGCAAGCUCGCGAGAGUUAGCAAAUCCCAUAAACCGUGGCUCAGUUCAGAUCGUAGGCUGCAACUCGCCUACGUGAAGGAGGAAUCGCUAGUAAUCGCAGGUCAGCAUACUGCGGUGAAUACGUUCCCGGGCCUUGUACACACCGCCCGUCACACCAUGGAAGUUGGCCACGCCCGAAGUCGUUACUCCAACCCUUGUGGAGGAGGACGCCGAAGGUGGGGCUGAUGACUGGGGUGAAGUCGUAACAAGGUAGCCGUACCGGAAGGUGCGGCUGGAUCACCUCCUAA